rfam:Streptococcus sobrinus W1703 genomic scaffold Scaffold283, whole genome shotgun sequence.
AAACUGCUGUGGUAUACGAAUCCACAUCACUGUGUUGACCGACUAAAUCUUUGUAUUUUGGGAAACAUAAGUCUUCUUGCAGUAUGCAAGCCGUCUCACACGGAAGCAACUAAGCAAGAGCGAGUUACCCACCUGCUUUAACCUGCGGGUUCAAUACAAAACGUGGAUCAUCGGUACCAAUACAGCUCUUUC